GGAUAACCUACCCUUAGGACUGGGAUAACCUUGGGAAACUGAGGCUAAUACCGGAUAGGCAAUUUUUCCUGUAAUGGUUUUUUGUUUAAAUGUUUUUUCGCCUAAGGAUGGGUCUGCGGCCGAUUAGGUAGUUGGUUAGGUAAUGGCUUACCAAGCCGUUGAUCGGUACGGGUUGUGAGAGCAAGAGCCCGGAGAUGGAACCUGAGACAAGGUUCCAGGCCCUACGGGGUGCAGCAGGCGCGAAACCUCCGCAAUGUGAGAAAUCGCGACGGGGGGAUCCCAAGUGCCAUUCUUAACGGGAUGGCUUUUCAUUAGUGUAAAGAGCUUUUGGAAUAAGAGCUGGGCAAGACCGGUGCCAGCCGCCGCGGUAACACCGGCAGCUCUAGUGGUAGCAAUUUUUAUUGGGCCUAAAGCGUCCGUAGCCGGUUUAAUAAGUCUCUGGUGAAAUCCUGUAGCUUAACUGUGGGAAUUGCUGGAGAUACUAUUAGACUUGAGACCGGGAGAGGUUGGGGGUACUCCCAGGGUAGAGGUGAAAUUCUGUAAUCCUGGGAGGACCGCCUGUUGCGAAGGCGUCUAACUGGAACGGUUCUGACGGUGAGGGACGAAAGUUAGGGGCGCGAACCGGAUUAGAUACCCGGGUAGUCCUAACUGUAAACGAUGCGGACUUGGUGUUGGGGGUGGCUUUGAGCUGCUCCAGUGCCGAAGGGAAGCUGUUAAGUCCGCCGCCUGGGAAG
rnacentral:rRNA from 1 species